rnacentral:rRNA from 1 species
UACGUAGGGGGCAAGCGUUGUCCGGAUUUAUUGGGCGUAAAGCGCUUGUAGGUGGCCAAGUAGGUCAGCUGUGAAAACUUGAGGCUCAACCUCAAGCUGUCGGUUGAAACCACUUGGCUAGAGUCCGGAAGAGGAGAGUGGAAUUCCUGGUGUAGCGGUGAAAUGCGCAGAUAUCAGGAAGAACACCAAUGGCGAAGGCAGCUCUCUGGGACGGUACUGACACUGAGACGCGAAAGCGUGGGGAGCGAACAGG